AGACCGGACUGAGGCGGCGGCGGCCGCUGGAGCUAGUCCCCCGCCCUGCCCUGCCGAGCGCGCCCAGUCCGCGAAUCCGGUGCUUUCUUGCCCCAGGAAGAAGCCGUGUCGGGGCUGCGCUGACAGAGGAGCAGGCAGCAGAAAAUACAGUAGCAGCCAUGAUAGAAGACAAAGGACCAAGAGUGACAGACUACUUUGUCGUAGCUGGUCUCACUGACACAUCUACUCUUUUGGAUCAAGAAAUAAAUCGUUUAGAUACUAAGUCAACUGGACCUAAAGCUCCAAUUACAGACAUUGCCAUUAUUAUCAAAUCAGCUGGAGAAACAGUACCUGAAGGUUACACCUGUGUAGAAGCCACUCCAUCAGCUCUCCAAGCAAACUUGAACUAUGGAAGUCUGAAAAGCCCAGAACUUUUCCUCUGUUAUAAGAGAGGGAGAGAUAAACCACCGCUUACAGAUAUUGGAGUUCUAUAUGAAGGGAAAGAACGGCUUAUUCCAGGAUGUGAAGUGAUCCUAGCCACACCCUAUGGUCGCUGUGCCAAUGUCAACAAUAGUUCAACUACUUCACAAAGAAUCUUUAUCACUUAUCGAAGGGCUCCUCCAGUUCGACCCCAGAAUUCCUUGGCUGUAACUGAUAUCUGUGUUAUUGUAACCAGUAAAGGAGAAACUCCUCCUCAUACCUUCUGCAAAGUUGACAAAAACUUAAAUUGUGGAAUGUGGGGUUCCAGCGUGUUUCUGUGUUAUAAGAAGUCUGUACCUGCUUCAAAUGCAAUAGCAUAUAAGGCUGGUGGACUUGCUUCCUUUCUCCUUUGUUGCAAAGAAUCAGCUAUAUGGAGGAGAGGAGGGCCUGAGAAACUUUUCUGCCAUGAAGUGUUUGAGAAAUCUAUCGCCACAUUCUUACUGCACAUUAAAGUGUCAAGGGCUGUAAAGAUUUAAGUGUCACGUCUUCAUUCCACUGGUAUGGUGGGAUAAAAACUGAAAAUACAGGUUUAAUUUUUAGAUAUCCAGAAGAGGACUAUGAGUCAUUUCCACUCUCAGAAUCAGAUGUACCUCUUUUCUGCCUUCCUAUGGGAGCUACUAUUGAGUGCUGGGAUCCUGAAACCAAAUAUCCACUUCCAGUUUUUUCAACUUUUGUCUUGACAGGUUCUUCAGCCAAAAAGGUAUAUGGAGCUGCCAUUCAGUUUUAUGAACCUUACUCUCGGGAACUUCUAUCAGAGAAACAGCUUAUGCACCUGGGCUUGUUGACGCCUGUGGAGAGAAAAAUGGUCUCCAAAUCCAUCAAUACAAACAAAUGCAUUUGUUUACUCUCACACUGGCCUUUUUUUGAAGCUUUUAGGAAAUUUCUUAUGUUUAUCUACAAACUUUCUGUGUCUGGACCACAUCCUCUUCCCAUUGAAAAGCACAUUUCACAUUUUAUGCAAAACAUCCCUUUUCCUUCACCACAAAGACCGAGAAUCCUUGUCCAGCUGUCAGUCCAUGAUGCAUUAAUAUUAUCACAGCCAGUUUCUACACCUUUACCACUAAGUGGAGCCAACUUUAGCACCUUGCUAAUGAAUCUGGGUCCUGAGAAUUGUGCAACACUGCUGCUCUUUGUUUUACUUGAGAGUAAAAUUCUGCUGCAUUCUCUUAGGCCAGCUGUCUUGACUGGGGUAGCUGAAGCUGUUGUAGCUAUGAUCUUUCCAUUUCAGUGGCAAUGCCCAUAUAUUCCCCUUUGUCCUCUUUCACUGGCUGCAGUGCUUAGUGCACCUUUACCAUUUAUAGUUGGAGUUGACUCAAGGUAUUUUGAUCUUCAUGACCCACCACAAGAUGUUGUUUGCAUUGACUUGGAUACGAACAUGUUAUAUGUAUCAGAUGAAAAGAAGAACAUGAACUGGAAGCAACUUCCCAAAAAGCCGUGCAAAAAUCUACUUAGCACCUUAAAGAAAUUGUAUCCCCAGCUGUCUUCAGUUCACCAAAAAACUCAAGAAGGCUCAGCGAUUGACAUGACUCCAAUUGAAGCAGAUUUCUCCUGGCAAAAGAAGAUGACACAGCUUGAGAUGGAAAUUCAAGAGGCAUUUUUGCGCUUUAUGGCGUCUAUUUUAAAAGGAUAUAGAACAUAUCUCAGACCAAUCACAGAGGCUCCUUCAAAUAAAGCCACAGCUGCUGAUUCAUUGUUUGACCGACAGGGAUUUUUAAAAAGUCGAGAUCGUGCCUAUGCAAAAUUCUAUACCCUUUUAUCCAAAACACAGAUUUUUAUUCGUUUCAUUGAAGAAUGCAGUUUUGUAAGUGAUAAAGAUACUGGAUUAGCAUUUUUUGAUGACUGCAUAGAAAAGUUGUUUCCUGAUAAAGGCACAGAGAAAACAGAUAAGGUUGAUUUUGAUUCAGCAGAAGAUACCAGAUUGAUAGAACUAGAUGAUUCACAGAAAAGUGAGCAUACUGUAUUUAUAAUGCCGCCAGAGCCACCUCCUGAUGAUGGAAAGGACCUGUCACCAAAGUACAGUUACAAAUACUUUCCAAGACUGGACCUUAAGCUUUUUGACAGACCGCAGGAGUUGAAACUUUGUUUUAGUAGACACCCUACUGGGAAUAGCAUUACAAAGAGUCCACCUCUCAUGGCUAAGAGAACUAAACAGGAAAUAAAAACAGCUCAUAAAUUGGCGAAGAGAUGUUAUACAAAUCCACCACAGUGGGCCAAGUGUCUGUUUAGUCAUUGUUACAGUUUAUGGUUUAUUUGUCUUCCGGCCUAUGUUAGAGUUUCUCAUCCUAAAGUCAGAGCACUUCAGCAGGCAUAUGAUGUACUUAUUAAGAUGAGGAAAACAGAUGUGGAUCCCUUAGAUGAGGUGUGCUAUCGAGUAGUGAUGCAGCUUUGUGGACUUUGGGGUCAUCCUGUUUUAGCAGUGAGAGUCUUAUUUGAAAUGAAAACUGCUAGGAUAAAGCCUAAUGCUAUUACUUAUGGUUAUUAUAAUAAGGUAGUCUUGGAGAGCCCGUGGCCUAGCAGUACCCGCAGUGGUAUUUUCUUAUGGACGAAGGUACGGAAUGUGGUACGUGGCUUGGCACAGUUUAGGCAGCCGCUUAAAAAGACUGUGCAAAGGUCACAGGUCUCCUCAAUAUCAGCUCUUCAAAAUGUCACAGGUGGAAGUGAUGGGGACACGGUGAGCCACGGUAGUGUGGAUAGUUCUAAUGAUGCUAACAAUGGGGAGCACACAGUCUUCGUCAGAGAUUUAAUCAGGCUUGAGUCCAUUGAUAAUCACUCUAGCACAGGUGGUCAGUCUGACCAAGGAUACGGGUCUAAGGAUGAACUUAUAAAGGAUGAUGCAGAAAUUCAUGUGCCUGAAGAACAGGCAGCAAGAGAAUUGAUAACUAAAACAAAAAUGCAAACAGAAGAGGUGUGUGAUGCCUCUGCUAUUGUGGCAAAACAUUCACAACCUAGUCCAGAGCCUCACAGUCCUACUGAACCUCCUGCAUGGGGCAGCAGUAUUGUGAAAGUUCCGUCUGGUAUAUUUGAUGUCAACAGCAGGAAAAGUAGCACUGGUAGUAUAUCAAAUGUGCUGUUUUCUACUCAAGAUCCAGUUGAAGAUGCAGUCUUUGGCGAAGCUACUAAUCUCAAGAAGAAUGGUGAUAGAGGAGAAAAAAGACAAAAGCAUUUUCCUGAGAGGAGUUGUAGUUUUAGUUCUGAAAGUCGAGCAGGAAUGUUGCUUAAGAAGAGUAGUUUGGAUUCGAAUUCAAGUGAAAUGGCUAUCAUGAUGGGAGCAGAUGCCAAGAUUCUCACAGCAGCAUUGACAUGUCCUAAGACUUCUCUACUUCAUAUUGCAAGAACCCAUAGCUUUGAGAAUGUUAGCUGUCACCUACCUGAUAGUAGGACUUGUAUGUCUGAAAGCACUUGGAAUCCUGAGCACAGAUCAUCUCCGGUGCCAGAGAUGCUUGAGGAAAGCCAAGAACUCCUUGAGCCUGUGGUUGAUGACGUACCUAAAACUACUGCAACAGUAGAUACAUAUGAGAGUCUACUAAGUGAUAGUAACAGUAAUCAGUCCAGAGACUUGAAAACAGUAUCCAAAGAUCUGAGGAAUAAGAGAAGUAGUUUAUAUGGUAUUGCUAAGGUGGUUCAGAGGGAAGAUGUUGAAACUGGACUAGAUCCUUUGUCUCUUUUAGCCACUGAAUGUACAGGAGGAAAAACUCCUGAUUCUGAAGAUAAGUUGUUUUCUCCAGUUAUUGCACGUAAUCUGGCUGAUGAAAUAGAAAGCUAUAUGAACCUAAAAAGUCCCCUAGGUAGUAAAUCUUCUAGUAUGGAAUUACACAGAGAGGAAAACAGAGAGUCUGGCAUGACUACUGCAUUUAUUCAUGCUCUAGAGAGGAGAUCAAGCCUACCUUUAGAUCAUGGUUCACCAGCACAGGAAAAUCCUGAAAGUGAAAAGAGCUCACCUGCAGUGUCCAGGUCUAAAACUUUUACUGGGCGUUUCAAGCAGCAAACCCCCUCUCGAACUCAUAAAGAACGUUCAACUUCUUUGUCAGCACUGGUGCGUUCUUCGCCACAUGGCUCGUUGGGUUCUGUAGUAAAUUCUUUGUCAGGGCUAAAGCUGGAUAAUAUACUCUCAGGGCCCAAGAUAGAUGUCCUGAAAUCUGGUAUGAAACAAGCAGCGACAGUAGCCAGUAAGAUGUGGGUAGCUGUUGCGUCUGCCUACAGCUACUCAGAUGAUGAGGAAGAAACUAAUAGAGACUACAGCUUCCCAGCUGGCCUAGAAGACCAUAUUUUGGGGGAGAAUAUAUCGCCUAACACAAGUAUCUCAGGGUUGGUCCCCAGUGAACUUACCCAGAGCAACACAAGUCUUGGCAGUAGCAGCAGUAGUGGAGAUGUAGGAAAACUGCAUUAUCCAACAGGUGAAGUUCCAUUUCCAAGAGGCAUGAAAGGGCAAGACUUUGAAAAAUCAGAUCAUGGUUCUUCUCAAAAUACCAGCAUGUCUAGCAUCUAUCAGAAUUGUGCAAUGGAGGUUUUGAUGUCCAGUUGUUCACAGUGUAGAGCUUGUGGAGCUUUAGUUUAUGAUGAAGAAAUUAUGGCUGGAUGGACAGCAGAUGACUCAAAUUUGAAUACAGCUUGUCCAUUCUGUAAAAGCAACUUCUUGCCUCUUCUCAAUAUAGAAUUCAAAGAUUUGAGAGGUUCUGCAAGGUUAGUCUUAUAAAAGCUCUCUCAAGAACUUUUUCCUGAAACCAAGUACCUCUGGUGACAGUUUACAAAGUGGAAGCAUUCCAUUGGCAAAUGAAUCCUUGGAGCACAAACCUGUAUCCAGUUUAGCAGAACCUGACUUGAUCAACUUUAUGGACUUCCCAAAACAUAACCAGAUCAUAACUGAAGAAACAGGCUCUGCAGUUGAACCAAGUGAUGAAAUAAAGAGAGCCAGUGGAGAUGUCCAAACUAUGAAAAUUUCAUCUGUGCCUAAUAGUUUAUCAAAGCGAAAUGUGUCUUUGACUCGAAGUCACAGUGUUGGAGGCCCAUUGCAGAAUAUUGACUUUACCCAGCGACCGUUUCAUGGCAUCUCAACAGUUAGUCUUCCAAAUAGUCUGCAGGAAGUUGUGGAUCCUUUAGGAAAAAGACCCAAUCCUCCCCCUGUUUCUGUGCCCUACUUGAGUCCUCUAGUACUCCGUAAAGAACUUGAAUCUUUGCUAGAAAAUGAAGGUGAUCAGGUGAUUCAUACAUCUUCUUUCAUCAAUCAACAUCCAAUCAUUUUCUGGAACCUCGUUUGGUAUUUCAGACGUUUGGACCUUCCUAGUAACUUGCCAGGACUUAUCCUCACAUCUGAACAUUGUAAUGAAGGUGUACAGCUUCCUCUGUCAUCUCUGUCCCAGGAUAGCAAACUUGUGUAUAUUCAGCUGUUAUGGGAUAAUAUCAACCUUCAUCAGGAACCAAGAGAACCUCUGUAUGUCUCAUGGAGGAAUUUUAAUUCUGAAAAGAAAUCAUCUCUCCUGUCAGAGGAACAACAAGAAACAAGCACUUUAGUAGAAACCAUCAGGCAGAGUAUUCAGCACAAUAAUGUUCUUAAACCCAUCAACCUACUUUCACAGCAAAUGAAGCCAGGCAUGAAAAGACAAAGGAGUUUAUACAGAGAAAUCCUCUUCUUAUCAUUAGUGUCUCUAGGAAGAGAGAAUAUUGAUAUUGAGGCAUUUGACAAUGAAUAUGGAAUUGCAUACAAUAGUCUGUCUUCAGAGAUUCUUGAAAGGUUGCAGAAAAUUGAUGCUCCACCAAGUGCCAGUGUCGAGUGGUGCAGGAAGUGUUUUGGAGCGCCUCUCAUUUAAAUAGAGAUUCACUAGAAUGUUGACACACAAGGCUUGGGGAUUAGAUUUCAUCUGGAAACAUUCAAGUUUUUUUUUCCAAAUCGUAAGAACUGGUGAAUACGGAAUUGAAGUAACUCUUGGGGACAAUAUAUAAUGAAUUAUGAUUCAUAUUGCAUUACCUUGAAAUAUGAAGUGCCAUUUGAAUGUCCCAGGGCUUAUUAAUAUUGAAGAUUUUCAACCCCUGAACUGCUUUUCUGCCUCUGUGGAAAACUACUUUGGGAUUCUUCAGUAUUUGUAGUAGUUUGAUAGAAAUAAUGAGGAACCAUAUUCAUUCUAGGCAUUGUUUAUAUUUGAAGUUACUGAGUUUGAGGAAUGGCAAAUUAAAUUUGCCUAACCCCCAAAACAAAUGAAAUAUCUCAAUUAUAAAAGCAACAUGGCCGGGCACGGUGGCUCAGGCCUGUAAUCCCAGCACUUUGGGAGGCUGAGCAAGGUGGGUGGAUCACUUGAGGCCAGGAGUUCGAGACCAGCCUGGCCAACACGGUGAGACCCUGUCUUUACUAAAAAUACAAAAAUUAGCCAGGCGCACCACUGUAGUCCCAGCUACUCAGGCUGAGGCAGGAGAAUCGCUUGAACUGAGGCAGAGGCUACAGUGAGUGGAGAUCACGCCACUGCAACUCCAGCUUGGGUGACAGAGUGAGACCGUCUCAAAAAAAAAAAAAAAAAAAAAAGAGAGCAACAUAUUUGUGUAAGUUUGUAUAUGUGUAGGGCUGUGUAGGUAUGUGUAUAUACAGCCAUAUUCUAAGUGUAUAUUUAUUAAAAUAGAUUGCAUGUUGCAAUACGGUUUUCUGAAAGGGGUCUCAUUGACUAUUAAAUAAAUGACUACUACUAAACUUGUCUGUAGUCAUUAAUCUUAAAAUUACCUGAAAAUCUGAUGACAGCUGCCUUCCCUAACUUUAAUGUAUUAGGUUGGCACAAAAUUAAUUGUAGUUUUUGCCACUAUUAAUGGCAAAAACCGCAAUUAUUUUUGUACCAACAUAAUACACCUUUCAUAUUAUGUAUUAUCUUGCUUAAUGGGUUUUAUCUUGAUUAUCCAGUUACUUCCAUCCUCUUCCCAAUGUUAAUUUGCAAUAGUUUUAAAAUGGGAACAAAUGAAUCAAUCAUCAGAUAGUUAAAAUGAAAUUAAAUCAGCUGCCUAAUAAUUUAUGGAAUUCAUUGGAAUGUGCUUAAAAUGCUAAAGUGUAUGUCAUUGAACAUGAAAUCUUUUUUCAGGCACAUACAUUGUUGGUAUUGAUGACUUUUUAAAACCUGUGGGAUAAACUUGCACUGCACACGGAAGUUUUAUUCUUGUAUAUUUAGAUUUGUAUGCUUGUGAGUAAAAAUGUGCAUUUGUAAAUACUGUGUUUUUAGGUUGAAUCAAUUAAGUCUUAAAACUGUAAAUUUAUUAAGCUUGUUGCCAGUAGGUUUAAGAAAAUCAUGAUCUCACAUGCCUCACUUUGACAUUUAUCAUGCCUUUUAUUAAAAAUAUCCCUUAGGAACAGUAAGUUUGCCUUAACUCUCUGCAUGGUUUAAAAAGCCAUUGGUUUUGUGUGUGUUUACAGUAAUUAUGCAGAUGACUAAAUGAGUUGACACAGUAAAAUUACUUCCAUAUGGUACAGUAACAACCUAACUCCCUUCUACCUGAUGUAACCAUUUACAAAUUAUAGUUAUUGUACCAGUCUUUCAACAUUUCAGGGUUAAUCUGACCUAUGCAGAAUUCUAGUGUGAAUUUAUUGUGAAAAUGCUAAAUGAAACAAUUUGUCAGAAAUUAUGUACAAUUUUCAUUACCUUCAAAAUGGAUCUUUUGCACUGUCUGAGAGUAUAUAUUUUUGCAACUCAAGACUUGGUACUAGUUUUAAUACUUAACACUUACUGACCCAACAGAAGUUUGGAAUUACCUUGCAUAUAAAAAUUGAGGUUGAAUAAAAUGAAAAAUUGUUGUUUUCUGUUACAUUAAGCCUCUUGAAAUCUGUAAUCUUUAGAAUCCCAAUAUUUUGUUUUUUCCAUUCCUUCACUCGUAACUUGAACUCAAGUUUUCACUUACUGACGCGCUUCCCAUUAAAAAAAAUCUGUAAAGAUCUCUACCUUGAAAA